rnacentral:rRNA from 1 species
UUUUUAAAAUAAUUUUUCCAAAAUUUUUUUUCAUAUAUAUAUAUAUAUAUAUAUAUAUAUACUCUAUAUAUUUAAAAAAAAUUUUAUAAAAAAAAAGAGUUUUUUUUUUUUUUUAAAAAAAUUAAUUAUUUAAAAAAUUAAAAUAUAUAAUUUUAAAAUCUUAUAAAAAAAAUUUCUUAUUUAUUCCUUUUGUAUCAGGAUAAUUUAAACAAAUAAUUUUAUUUUUAUUUCUCGAAAAAAAAAUAAUUAAAUAUAUAAAUAAAUUAAUAUAAAAUUAUUAUUAAAAAUAUAUAUUUAAAGAUUAAAUAUUAAAUAAUUUUUUAUAUAUCUAGUUAUUAAAUAAAUUAAUUUAAUUAUAUUAUAAAAAAAUUUUAAAUUAAUUUUUUAAUUUAAAAUAAUUUUAUAAAAAAAAUUUAAAGGAUAAACUAUAAAUUUUAAUUAAAAUUUUAUUAAAAUUAAAAUAUUAUUAAAAUAAAAAUUAAAAUAAUUAAUUUUUUAAAAAAUAUAAUAAUUUAAAUUUUUAUAAAAAAAUUUUUUUAAAAAAAUUUAAUUUUAUAUUUAAUUAUUUAAUUUAACUAUUAAAUUAAAUUAAUAAUAAAUUAAUUAGUAAAUUAAUCUUUAAAAAUAUUUAUUUUAAAAUAUAAUUCUAUUUAAUAAAUUAAGCAAAUAAUAUAUUCACCUGUUUAACAAAAACAUGUCUUUAAGAAUUUUAAUUUAAAGUCAAAUCUGCCCAAUGAAAAAUUUUAAAUGGCUGCAGUAUUUAUAACUGUACUAAGGUAGCAUAAUAAUUUGUCUUUUAAAUAAAGACUAGAAUAAAAGAUUUAAUGAAAUAUAAACUAUAUCAAAUAAAAAUAUUUAAAUUAUUAUUUAAGUAAAAAAACUUAAAUUAAAUUAAUAGACGAUAAGACCCUAUAGAAUUUAAUUAUAAAUAAUAUUUUAAAUUAAAUUUUUAAUUUAAAUAAAAAAUAUAAUUUAUUUGGGGUAAAUAUAAAAUAUAAAAAAUUUUUAUAAAAUUAAACAAUAAUUAUUGAUUAAUUUAAAUUAUAUUUUAAUUUUAUAAAAUUAAUUACCUUAGGGAUAACAGUAUAAUAUUUUUUUUAAGAUCAAAUUUAUAAAAAAGUUUAUAACCUCGAUGUUGAAUUAAGAUAAAAUUUUAAAGAAAAUAAUAUAAAUUUAAGUCUGUUCGACUUUUAAAAUCUUACAUGAUUUGAGUUAAGAUCGGUGUAAGCCAGAUCAGAUUCUAUCUUUAAUAAUAUUUAAAUAUAAUUGUACGAAAGGAAUUUAUAUUUUAAAAAUUUUAUUAUAUAAAAAUAAAUAUUAUUUUAUUACUUAUACAAAUUAGUGUAAUAAAUU